UUUACUUAAAUGUAACCUACAUUCCGUAUAAUAUAAUUUUAUGUUUAUUAAAUAUACGCAAAUAAAUCAUGUAGGAUUUUCUAUAAGGUCCAUUACUUAGCUUUUAAUAGAUUCAUUCAUGUUAAAAUAACGUAACACAAUCAAACUCUCACGCGCUUCCGGAAACUUCACCGCCGAUAUCGCGAGAUUUAAGCAACGCCUGGCUUCGGGAUUUCACCUGUUUUUCGCGCUCUUGUGAAAAGAACAAUAGCAUUGUUAUUGGACGUGAAUGCAUCCAAAAGGGACUUUGUGUGUACUUGAAUGAAGAUCCGGAGAAGCUGGUGAAGGAAUACAUGGCAGAUGAUGUAAGCAGACACACAGCCAUGGAAGAGACCGUCUUUGGCAUCUAUGUUGUUCGACAUGAAGGUGAUGAGCUUACUGAUCCCCCAGAGGAUGUGGGUGUCAUUCUAAUGGGGUUGACUGUACUCUGUGAACUGGGGAAUGUACCUUUUGCAUUGGCCAUAUUGCUUGCCUUAGUAAAUUCUUUAAAUCUAUGCUACCCUCCAGAACAUAAAUAUACGUUUGAAGCUUUGCAAAAAAUAAUCUUAGAGCUGAAUGGGAACAGGCUUUCUGCAAAAAUACGCACUCUUAAAACAAUUAUGUCAGUAAAGUAAAGUGAAUAUUAUUCAAUCAUUCCUUUGUUAAAGGUUUAAAUUCACUGACAUUUUAUGGGACAGGUCUAAUUAUUUGAGGUGGGGUGCUAUAAAACAUUUGAAAAAUUAAAUAUACCGGAAACUUUUUUUACAUGCAUUAUUACUUUUUUCAGAUUUUAUUAUUUUAUAGUGGUUUGCUUUAAAACAAUUUUAAGUUUAAACAAUACCAUGUACUAUGGUUCAUCCAUAUAGUAAUAAAAAUAAAAAGUUUUUUUUUAUUUACUAUGUUUCAUGUUUUUAAGAAAUUUGUAAAUGUAAAAAUGUUACAAAACCAACAACUUUGUGCAAAGAAUGGUGUGCACUUAUGUGACUCAUUGCCCUUUGUUAAUUAAACUUGAUGACCAGUGGUUUUGUGUUCAUAUUUCUACACUUAAUACCAAGUAGACUUUGUGCGUCAAGCUUUUAAUGUAAAUUCAAAUGUAAUACUUUACUUAGAAUGUACUUAAAUCAAUCAUGGAAAGUAUUUCCAUGUGAUUCAAUGGCUCUCUUUCAGCAUUACCUACUUUUGUUUGGCCAACUUGUUUAACUGUAGUUUUAAUUACUUAAUACAAUUGAGUUAGAUAGUCACAAAUAAAUGAAGUAUAACUAAACAUGAAUAAAAAAGUUGAAUCAACACCAAUAAAUUGUGUUAACCCAGCUAAAGCAAAUAAAGUUGGAAGGAAACUUUGCAAAUAAGUAUAAUGGAGACUAAAAAAUUAAGCUGAACCCACUUAAGUAUUACAAAUUGUCUGAAAAUGAUGGCUUUGUGUUUUAAAAUAAGAAAUGUAAUCAUGUGGAAAUACUUUCCAUGAUUUUUUUUUAAUCCAAAGUCUAUUUUUUUUUUUUUUAGUGUACCUUUUUGUGGUUACCUCACAAAUCAUUACUUUUUUUACCUCAGAAAUCAUUACCGUUUUUUGUUACCUCAGAAAUCAUUAUUUUUAUUUUGUUACCUCAGAAAUCAUUACUUUUUGUUGUUAAAAAACACGCUCUUAACACACCGGUGUCUCAGACACACAAAUAAAUUCACUCUAUUUUCAUCUCCUGACAGUAAUUCACGACGCAUGAACACAAAAAACAAACACACACACAUGCUCUGAACUUGUUUUUGUUGUAU